AGUGAACGCUGGCGGUAGGCCUAACACAUGCAAGUCGAACGGCGGCACAGUAAGAGCUUGCUCUUACGGGUGGCGAGUGGCGGACGGGUGAGGAAUACAUCGGAAUCUACUUUUUCGUGGGGGAUAACGUAGGGAAACUUACGCUAAUACCGCAUACGACCUACGGGUGAAAGCAGGGGAUCUUCGGACCUUGCGCGAUUGAAUGAGCCGAUGUCGGAUUAGCUAGUUGGCGGGGUAAAGGCCCACCAAGGCGACGAUCCGUAGCUGGUCUGAGAGGAUGGACAGCCACACUGGAACUGAGACACGGUCCAGAGUCCGCCGGGAGGCAGCAGUGGGGAUUAUUGGACAAUGGGCGCAAGCCUGAUACAGCCAUACCGCGUAGGUGAAGAAGGCCUUCGUGUUGUAAAGCCCUUUUGUUGGGAAAGAAAAGCAGCAGGUUAAUACCCCGCUGUUCUGACGGUACCCAAAGAAUAAGCACCGGCUAACUUCGUG
rnacentral:rRNA from 1 species